rnacentral:rRNA from 1 species
ACAUGCAAGUCGAACGAACUCUUCGGAGUUAGUGGCGGACGGGUGAGUAACACGUGGGAACGUGCCUUUAGGUUCGGAAUAACUCAGGGAAACUUGUGCUAAUACCGGAUGUGCCCUUCGGGGGAAAGAUUUAUCGCCUUUAGAGCGGCCCGCGUCUGAUUAGCUAGUUGGUGAGGUAAUGGCUCACCAAGGCUACGAUCAGUAGCUGGUCUGAGAGGAUGACCAGCCACAUUGGGACUGAGACACGGCCCAAACUCCUACGGGAGGCAGCAGUGGGGAAUCUUGCGCAAUGGGCGAAAGCCUGACGCAGCCAUGCCGCGUGAAUGAUGAAGGUCUUAGGAUUGUAAAAUUCUUUCACCGGGGACGAUAAUGACGGUACCCGGAGAAGAAGCCCCGGCUAACUUCGUGCCAGCAGCCGCGGUAAUACGAAGGGGGCUAGCGUUGCUCGGAAUUACUGGGCGUAAAGGGCGCGUAGGCGGACACUUAAGUCAGAGGUGAAAUCCCGGGGCUCAACCUCGGAACUGCCUUUGAUACUGGGUGUCUUGAGUGUGAGAGAGGUAUGUGGAACUCCGAGUGUAGAGGUGAAAUUCGUAGAUAUUCGGAAGAACACCAGUGGCGAAGGCGACAUACUGGCUCAUUACUGACGCUGAGGCGCGAAAGCGUGGGGAGCAAACAGGAUUAGAUACCCUGGGUAGUCCACGCCGUAAACGAUGAUUGCUAGUUGUCGGGAUGCAUGCAUCUCGG